GACGGACGCUGGCGGCGUGCCUAAUACAUGCAAGUAGAACGCACAGUUUAUACCGUAGCUUGCUACACCAUAGACUGUGAGUUGCGAACGGGUGAGUAACGCGUAGGUAACCUGCCUGGUAGCGGGGGAUAACUAUUGGAAACGAUAGCUAAUACCGCAUAAUAUUAAUUAUUGCAUGAUAAUUAAUUGAAAGGUGCAAUUGCACCACUACCAGAUGGACCUGCGUUGUAUUAGCUAGUAGGUGAGGUAACGGCUCACCUAGGCGACGAUACAUAGCCGACCUGAGAGGGUGAUCGGCCACACUGGGACUGAGACACGGCCCAGACUCCUACGGGAGGCAGCAGUAGGGAAUCUUCGGCAAUGGACGAAAGUCUGACCGAGCAACGCCGCGUGAGUGAAGAAGGUUUUCGGAUCAUAAAGCUCUGUUGUAAGAGAAGAACGGGUGUGAGAGUGGAAAGUUCACACUGUGACGGUAUCUGACCAGAAAGGGACGGCUAACUACGUG
rnacentral:rRNA from 1 species